AAUAAACGCUGGCGGCGUGCCUAACACAUGCAAGCCGAGCGAGAAAGCUCCUUCGGGAGUUAGUAAAGCGGCGAACGGGUGAGCAACACGUGAGAAUCUACCCUUUAGUGAAGAAUACCCUCGAGAAAUCGAGGCUAAUACUGCAUACGUCCCUUCGGGGAGAAAGAUGGCCUCUUUGCUAUCGCUAAAGGAUGAGCUUGCGUACUAUUAGCUAGUUGGCGGGGUAAAGGCCCACCAAGGCAAUGAUGGUUAACCGGCCUGAGAGGGUGUACGGUCACACUGGAACUUAGACACGGUCCAGACUCCUACGGGAGGCAGCAGUGAGGAAUCUUGCGCAAUGGGCGAAAGCCUGACGCAGCGACGCCGCGUGGAGGAUGACGGUUUUCGGAUUGUAAACUCCUGUUAAGCGGGAAGAAAGCCUUGUUUCUAAUACAAGCAAGGUAUGACGGUACCGCUAGAGAAAGCACCGGCUAACUUCGUGCCAGCAGCCGCGGUAAGGA
rnacentral:rRNA from 1 species